GACGAACCGUGCGAACGUUAUUCGGAAUCACUGGGCUUAAAGCGCGCGUAGGCGGAUGGGAACGUCGGUCGUUGAAAUCCCCCGGCUCAACCGGGGAAUGGGCGCCGAAACGACCCGUCUGGAGGGACGUAGGGGGACCUGGAACUUCCGGUGGAGCGGUGAAAUGCGUUGAGAUCGGAAGGAACGCCCGUGGCGAAAGCGAGGUCCUGGACGUCUACUGACGCUGAGACGCGAAAGCUAGGGUAGCGAACGGG
rnacentral:rRNA from 1 species